CAAACCCGACCCCGACAAACCAAAACAAAAACCAGUUGAUCCCUUCCCAUCCUCUCUCUCUCAAUCGCAUUCACUUUCCUUCAACAAUAAUGAGACUAGGGUUUCAUUGUUAGGCCUCCGAUGUCCCUUCCAGAUCCCCAUUCACUCUGCUGAAUUCGAAAUCCCCAAUUUUCUAGGGUUUAAAUUUUCAAUCUCCAGUACCAUUCACUCUCGAGCAUGGCUUCCACGAUUGGCUCUCCAAGCAGUUCGUCCUCGUUGAGGCCGCCAUCGUCAUCGUCACCAAUGGAUGCUGCUAUUGGCGGCAUCAUGGGUACUUUCAUACUUAAUCCCAAUUUACCCAAAUCGAAGAUAGGGUUCAAUCCUGGGCGGGUCGGCGACUAGGCGUUUCAGUCCCUUUUUUUUUUUUUUUUUUAACUCUUCAUACUUAAUCCCAAUUUACCCAAAUCGAAGAUAGGGUUCUGGGUGUGAUGAAGGCCAUUUCUCCUCUCUCUCUCUAUGCGACAUGGCCGCACGGGCCAUCUAUUAUCAGCCUUUCUCCGACUCCGAGUCGCCGGUGACGCCGUGACAACGGUGACAUUGCUGAUUUGCUGCCUUGCUGUCAAAGGCGCCGGCUCUUCACUCUUGGUUUGCUCGCUUUGACUCCUCUUCAAGCUGUCAAGCAACAAAACAGAAGACUUUGGUUCAAUUUCUGGGUUCUUCCUUCAAGCUCAGUGAGUCUCUGAAUCUCUUGUUAAGUUGCUGGGCUUUGGUGUUUCUGAUUCUUGGAGCUAUUUGGCUGUUUUGACUAGUAUAUAGAACCGUUGAUUCUUCCACCAUCUUAUUUACAUGCUUCGUUGAUUACCAUAUUUCAGAGAGUUGGAUUUGUUUUGGACCGGGAAGGAAGUUUGCAUUGUGUGAGAUGAGUAUAAACGAUGAGUCCCAAUUUAUAUCUACGGAGGAAAGAGAAGAUGCAACAGGAAAUGUACAAAGAGAUAAUUUGGCUUCUAGAAGAAAUCGGACGAAAGAAAAGAAAUUAUAUACAUAGCUCAGCAACUAUAGCACGAAAUUCAAAGAGAACUUGUCUUUGCAUCAUUCCUUAAAGCUUUGUGCAGAAUUCCUUAAAGCUUUUCUAUAACCAGUUACAAGCAUGAAGCAUGUAAGUAUUACCAGUUCAUUUUACUUGAGUGUUAAGUAUUAUCGUCACCUUAAGCUAUUUCUGCUAGCUUUUUAGGCCUUUGCUUGUUAGUUAAUCUCAUCUGUUCUGUUAACAGAUGUCUUUGGACUGGGCAAUAUAUGUUUGUCUUUGGACUGGGCAAUAUAAGGACUAAUCUGCUGUCACUUUUGUACAAUGAAAAUUAGAAUUUCAUUGCAGUUCUUAAUUCUUUUCAGAUAAUUCAAGUAAUUCAUUCUGUGAGCUGUUUACUUGCAGGAACUUAAAAUGGGAAAGUCUGCAUAUUCAAGUAUGGAACACUUACCCAGAUGAGCAAAACCGCCUCAAAGCUCAAGUCUUUAACAUCUCAAGUCCUCCAUUUUCAAAAAGCAAGCUUCUUUACUGCAACAUUUGCAGAUUGUGAAGAAGAAGAACCACAAUACCCAAACAGACCCAAGUAGAUGGUACAUUUCCAUGCACCAUAUAUGUGCCAUGUUUUGGAACAAUAUAAAUGUGUAUCAGCUUUUGAUGUCCCAAGCACAAGAAUGCUUUUCUUGUUUAAAUGUUGGCUUGGAUGAUUGGGAAAUGCACCAUUUUUGCUUUUGAAGUUUAGUAUUGGUUAGAUUACUCAU